rnacentral:siRNA from 1 species
AAGCUUCCAACUCAAAACCAAUUG